AGAGUUUGAUCCUGGCUCAGGACGAACGCUGGCGGCGUGCUUAACACAUGCAAGUCGAGCGGUAAGGCCCUUUCGGGGGUACACGAGCGGCGAACGGGUGAGUAACACGUGGGUGACCUGCCCUCAGCUCUGGGAUAAGCCUGGGAAACCGGGUCUAAUACCGGAUAUGACUCCAUGACGCAUGUUGUGGGGUGGAAAGCCUUGUGCGGCUGGGGAUGGGCCCGCGGCCUAUCAGCUUGUUGGUGGGGUGAUGGCCUACCAAGGCGACGACGGGUAGCCGGCCUGAGAGGGCGACCGGCCACACUGGGACUGAGACACGGCCCAGACUCCUACGGGAGGCAGCAGUGGGGAAUCUUGCGCAAUGGGCGAAAGCCUGACGCAGCGACGCCGCGUGAGGGAUGACGGCCUUCGGGUUGUAAACCUCUUUCAGCUCCGACGAAGCGAAAGUGACGGUAGGAGUAGAAGAAGCACCGGCCAACUACGUGCCAGCAGCCGCGGUAAUACGUAGGGUGCAAGCGUUGUCCGGAAUUAUUGGGCGUAAAGAGCUCGUAGGCGGUCUGUCGCGUCGGCUGUGAAAACUUGGGGCUCAACUCCGAGCUUGCAGUCGAUACGGGCAGGCUAGAGUUCGGCAGGGGAGACUGGAAUUCCUGGUGUAGCGGUGAAAUGCGCAGAUAUCAGGAGGAACACCGGUGGCGAAGGCGGGUCUCUGGGCAUGACCUGACGCUGAGGAGCGAAAGCAUGGGGAGCGAACAGGAUUAGAUACCCUGGUAGUCCAUGCCGUAAACGUUGGGCGCUAGGUGUGGGGACCUUCCAAGGUCUCCGUGCCGCAGCUAACGCAUUAAGCGCCCCGCCUGGGGAGUACGGCCGCAAGGCUAAAACUCAAAGGAAUUGACGG
rnacentral:rRNA from 1 species